AUUGAACGCUGGCGGCAUGCUUUACACAUGCAAGUCGAACGGUAACAGGCCGCAAGGUGCUGACGAGUGGCGAACGGGUGAGUAAUGCAUCGGAACGUGCCCAGUCGUGGGGGAUAACUACUCGCAAGAGUAGCUAAUACCUCAUACGAUCUAUGGAUGAAAGCGGGGGACCGUAAUGCCUCGCGCGAUUUGAGCGGCCGAUGUCAGAUUAGGUAGUUGGUGGGGUAAAGGCUCACCAAGCCAACGAUCUGUAGCUGGUCUGAGAGGACGACCAGCCACACUGGGACUGAGACACGGCCCAGACUCCUACGGGAGGCAGCAGUGGGGAAUUUUGGACAAAGGGCGCAAGCCUGAUCCAGCAAUGCCGCGUGCAGGAAGAAGGCCUUCGGGUUGUAAACUGCUUUUGUACGGAACGAAACGGCUCUGGUUAAUACCCGGGGCUAAUGACGGUACCGUAAGAAUAAGCACCGGCUAACUACGUG
rnacentral:rRNA from 1 species